CAAAAAACAAAAACAGUUUAAAAAAAUGCAGGAUGUUCAAUGUUAUAAACCCAUCCUGACCAACAACGUUCAUUAACAACAUGACUCCUGUUAGUAUAUGAAAAGAUUAAAAAAAAGAAGAAGAAGAAAAGGAAAAAUAAUUAUUUUCUGCAUGCUUUACUAGUUGUAGGUUUAAAGCAAGCUCCAAUAGUAAGCCACACAGAGUUACAAACAGGAGCAGCUCUUUUGGAAAAUUACAAGAUGAAACAUUCCUUGAAGAUCUAGGAAUUGCACGAAGCUUUCAGUCCUAGGACAAAAGGGAAAGGCUCAAUGCGAUAUUCAAGCACAAGCAGCACUCUCCAGAAAAAACAAACAAGCAAACAUAAUCUGACAUGGUACAAGGUAUAUUCAAAAGCAAGCACUGAUUCGCGAUCACCAAAUGGUGAUUUGGGGUUAGCAAUCACAUCGUUUAGAAGACCACACAGACAUCCAUGUUAUCUCUAGCAUUUGUAGCGCCUUGGCUCCAAAGCAAACAGAGCCCACAGCACGAGGAAUGGCACAUCCUCCUAAAGGAACAGACCAGAUGGAGCUUCUGAAGGCAACUUGUUUACUUUGCAGUAAAAGUCUGCUCCAGACUUGCAACAGCAUGAAGGAGUUAAUCUGAAUCUGCAGGCCAGAGGUGAAGGGCAAAGCAGCACACACCGACCCAAAAGCCACGAUGCAGCCAGGGAAGUGUCUUCUAAAAAAGCUCUGAGGAAAUAUUUUUCAUCAUUACCUAGAAAGGAGUAGGUGGCAGGCAGUCUGCAUUAGCCAAGACCAAAAAAAAUAAACACCAAAAAAAAAAAACACACAAAAAAAACCAUGAAUUAACAUGUUGGCAACAGAGAAGAGAGGGGUGCUUUUAGCAGAUGGCAAUUAAGGAUUUGGCAAGCAUCUGGAGGCAAGGAAAGAGUGUGAGUCAAAGAUAACGCUAAUAUCUCAAGUUCAGAUAGCAGAGAAAGAUAGAGACACAAUGAGAAAUGCACGGCGGAGAAGUAAUGUACUCAGGCAGCAGUACAACAUCCACAAGGCCCUACAGAGCAAACAAGCAGAGGUGCAGGGGGCUGCAAAAAAA